rnacentral:rRNA from 1 species
GCGCAGCAGGCGCGAAUUUUUCUCAAUGGGCGAAAGCCUGAAGGAGCGACGCCGCGUGGGGGAUGAAUGGCUUCGGCCCGUAAACCCUGUCAUUUGUGAACAAAUUGCUUCACCUAACACGUGAAGCAUUGAUUGUAACGGAAGAGGAAGGGACGGCUAACUCUGUGCCAGCAGCCGCGGUAAUACAGAGGUCCCAAGCGUUGUUCGGAUUCACUGGGCGUAAAGGGUGCGUAGGCGAUUUGAUAAGUCUGAUGUGAAAUCCCGCAGCUUAACUGCGGAACUGCAUUGGAAACUGUUUGACUAGAGGAAUGGAGGGGAGACUGGAAUACUUGGUGUAGCAGUGAAAUGCGUAGAUAUCAAGUGGAACACCAGUGGCGAAGGCGAGUCUCUGGACAUUUCCUGACGCUGAGGUACGAAAGCCAGGGGAGCAAACGGGAUUAGAUACCCGGGUAGU